rnacentral:rRNA from 1 species
UACGUAGGGUGCGAGCGUUGUCCGGAAUUACUGGGCGUAAAGAGCUCGUAGGUGGUUUGUCGCGUUGUCCGUGAAAACUCACAACUCAAUUGUGGGCGUGCGGGCGAUACGGGCAGACUGGAGUACUGCAGGGGAGACUGGAAUUCCUGGUGUAGCGGUGGAAUGCGCAGAUAUCAGGAGGAACACCGGUGGCGAAGGCGGGUCUCUGGGCAUGUCCUGACGCUGAGGAGCGAAAGUGUGGGGAGCGAACAGG